rnacentral:snoRNA from 1 species
AUCUUUUGGUUCAUAAGCGUGAUGAUUGAGUAUUCACGCUAUUGUAUGAUAUGUGCCUCCCCCUAAACCUUGUUACAACAUGAACUUUGAGAAA